rnacentral:rRNA from 1 species
UACGAGGGGGGCGAGCGUUGUCCGGAUUUAUUGGGCGUAAAGCGUGCGUAGGCGGCUGCGCAAGUCGGGUGUGAAACCCCGGGGCUCAACCCCGGAACUGCAUCCGAUACUGCGUGGCUAGAGGUAGGUAGGGGAGAUCGGAAUUCCUGGUGUAGCGGUGAAAUGCGCAGAUAUCAGGAGGAACACCGGUGGCGAAGGCGGAUCUCUGGGCCUUACCUGACGCUCAGGCACGAAAGCUAGGGGAGCGAACAGG